rnacentral:tRNA from 1 species
GCCUUGAUAGCUUAAAAGGUAAGAGCGUAUAAGUGAAGUUUAUAAGAACUAGGUUCGAUUCCUGGUCGGGGCA